rnacentral:antisense_RNA from 1 species
CUUCAACGAACCGAGCAGCAGCGGGCGUUCCUCCUCGCGGCCCUGGCCGUAGGUGGCGAGCAGGGCGUGCGCCUC